UACCAGGUCUUGACAUCUCCUGACAACCCUAGAGAUAGGGCGUUCCCCUUCGGGGGACAGGAUGACAGGUGGUGCAUGGUUGUCGUCAGCUCGUGUCGUGAGAUGUUGGGUUAAGUCCCGCAACGAGCGCAACCCUUGAUCUUAGUUGCCAGCAUUCAGUUGGGCACUCUAAGGUGACUGCCGGUGACAAACCGGAGGAAGGUGGGGAUGACGUCAAAUCAUCAUGCCCCUUAUGACCUGGGCUACACACGUGCUACAAUGGAUGGUACAAAGGGCUGCAAGACCGCGAGGUUAAGCGAAUCCCAUAAAACCAUUCUCAGUUCGGAUUGCAGGCUGCAACUCGCCUGCAUGAAGCCGGAAUCGCUAGUAAUCGCGGAUCAGCAUGCCGCGGUGAAUACGUUCCCGGGCCUUGUACACACCGCCCGUCACACCACGAGAGUUUGUAACACCCGAAGUCGGUGGGGUAACCUUUUGGAGCCAGCCGCCUAAGGUGGGACAGAUGAUUGGGGUGAAGUCGUAACAA
rnacentral:rRNA from 1 species